rnacentral:lncRNA from 10 species
CAUGAGGCCCAGCUAAUUUUUGUAUUUUUAGUAGAGAUGGUCUCAAAUUUCUGGCCUCAAGUGAUCUGCCCGCCUUGGCCCCCCAAAGUGCUAGGAUUACAGGUGUGAGCCACCGUGCCCGGCUAGAAGUCAGUUUUUUAUGUUGUCGUUGUUUUUGAUGUUAUUUUUGAGAUAGGGUCUCGCUCUGUUGCCCACGGUGGAGUGCAAUGGCUCAAUCACAGCUUGCUGCAGCCUCGACUUCCUAUGCUCAGGCAAUUCUCCCACCUCAGCCUCCUGAAUAGCUGGGACUACAGGAAUGUGCCAGCCAUGCCCAGCUAAUUUCUUUUUAAAUUUUUUGUAGAGAUCAGGGUGUCAGUAUGUUGCCCAGGCUGGUCUCAAACUGCUGGGCCCAAGCCAUCCAUCCACUUUGGCUUCCCAAAGUGCUAGGAUUACAGGCUUUGGCCACCGCACCCGGCAAGAAGUCAGAUGUUAAGUAUUAU